ACUCAGCUGACGAGUCCCAAACAGGACGAAACGCGCGUCCUGGAU
rfam:Schistosoma margrebowiei strain Zambia genome assembly, scaffold: SMRZ_contig0001947